rnacentral:lncRNA from 1 species
UUCUCAAAUCCCUAAUUUAGCGAUCGUAAAAUCUCAAUUCACCGGCGUUACGAUGUCAUCGAUGCCUUCAACGUCGGCGGCAGCUACUUCAUCGUCGUCGCAAUUCACCUACUCGAAUGGCACCUACUUUCCGACGCCUUUUCAUCUCCAACAACAUCCUCCUCAGCCCUACAUAGGUGCUGCUCCUCCGCCCGUUCAACUUCCUGUUCCUUCCGUCUAUCCUGCUCCUGCUGUUAUUCCUGGCGUUUACACUUUGCCUCAGUUUCAACAAGUAAGUAUUUCAAAUAUCAGCAAACAUUGAUGACCUAAAAAAGGGACAAUAAACGGAAGUUAUAAACACUUAUAUCUGAAUUUCGCUCUCGUGAAAAUUUGAAAUUGGUUGUCAAUCCUUGAGUUUUGGUUGCGUUAGAGUCAGGCUAAUAUCCAUAGAAAGUUUACUUUAUGUUAAGUUUGCGUGGGACAGGGUAAUCAUGAAACCUUGGCCGAUAUAUCUGGCGGCUCGUAUUGUUUGUUGACCAUAAUUUAUGAAUUCAGUUAUCAUAGGGAGCAUAUGUUGAAUAUCUAUAAAAAAACAUUUUAUGCUUGUUUCUUUCUCUUGUUUGAGACAAGUCGUGAAUCUAGGAUAUUGUGGUCUUUUACAGUGAAAGAAGUUGGGACGAGGUUGUAAAUAAUAGAUUACCUAGAGAAAUCGGUUAAAGAAAUUUCCACCCAAGAUUUGCAUUUUUUCUAUCUAAACAAGUUGAUUACAUGUAUUUAUAAAUUUUAGAAAUUAGAAUUUGGCUGUAGUUUUGUAAUAUUUCCUGUGAAAUUGUUGAGAUAAUUUCUUUUCAGAAAUUAAAUAAGGGUGUUGUCCAGACCAGCUUGCUUGUUGAGAUCAUUUUUGCUUCCUGUGUGUGCGAGUAAGUGCUUGAUAAGAUAUCAUGACAGCCAAUUAUAAGCUUGUUAGUUUCCUCUAGGAGGGGAACAGACGACAAUUUCUGUAGAAGUAUUUGCAGAUGGCCUUUGUAAAUAACUAGCUUUCAUGGUAAGCAAGCAAGCUUGUUUUGGAAAAAAGAAGGUACCUUUUGUCAUGUUUGUAAAAUAUGUAUUCUUGUGGACAGGCUCAACAGUUAUUCCAAAGAGACGCACAAACAAUUACACCUGAAGCACUUGAAAAUGUGAAAGCUGCACUUGCGAGCUGUGAAAUUGAGCACAAAGCUGAGGCCAAGAAGAAAGCUGUACCGCGUAAGGCAGCAGGACAUAGUUGGGAAGAUCCUACUCUGGCAGAGUGGCCCGAGAGUAAGCCUAAUUUCAUUUUUCUUUUUCUUUCCUCGUCUGUCUGUGCAUCACGCUUUUCAUGUCUAUUUAUUAUUCUGUUUUUUUUGGGAUUACUCUAGUUCUCUCUCCUUAUUGUCUUCGAAGUUUUGGGCAUCAAUUGAAAAGGGUACUUGUGUAAUACCUUGUGCUGAAGGGUUUGGCAUUAAAAAUUUGGUUCAAAGUGAUCCGACAGUCGUACAAUUUUGGAAUUUUAGGAAGAAUUCAAAGAUUUCAGAUCUAUUAGCCUAGGGUGAAGUGCUAAACUCGCUUGUCUGGAUGAUGUAUGCUUGAAAAUACACUAUAUGAAUUUGUGUAGUUAAGUUGUGGGAGUUUUUGUCUUCUCUUUUUAAUUUCUUAUCUUUUUAUAAUCGUUCUUUUUUUUAUUUUUUUGAUAUUUUAAUAUUAUGCUUUGUUGGUCCACUUUCAUGGAUUAUGGCCUGGUGCCGAUAGUUUUUACUACCCAAUUAUCUACUUAUCUUCACUAGUGAUUCUCUUUGGCACUUCAUCCUGUGAUGGCUGUUUGCACUUAUUUGUUCCUUUGUUGUUAGUAUUGGUGCAAAUCCUAGAGCAGCGGAAUAACUAAGUUACCGUUCUGAUGGUGUCACAGAUGAUUAUCGUCUAUUCUGUGGUGAUCUGGGGAAUGAGGUGAAUGAUGAUGUCCUAUCAAAAGCCUUUUCAAGGUUUCCAACUUUUAAUAUGGCUAAGGUAUAUGCCGUUUAUAUUUUCCAAUAAGUUUACGUGUUUAUGUUUCUGAUUGUUAUACAUGAGUACCGUCAUGAAGGGAGAGAAAAUUCUUUCCAUAUGCUUAUACAGCUACUGAUAGUGUGGGUACAUCGAAAGUGAUGUGCAUGCAUUUAGUUUUGAGAGACUUCUCCUCAAUUUUAACUGCGUUCUAUUUCGACUUCAAUAACUUUUUAGUAGUAUCAUUGUUGGAUAAAAAAUUGUAUUCCUCAGGUUGUCACCGGUUCAGUAAUCUCCUUCUCUUCUCCGGCAUAGAAUCUCACCACUGUCUCAUUCCAAAUUUGGGUAAUGUGCCCUAUUCCUUUUAAUUAGAUUCUCACUCUCUUUGGAAUGCUAUUUCCCCAACCCUUCAAUAAAACUCUCGCCCAGUUUAGGUUAUUUCGGAGUUCUGUCUCCUCUUCCGUCCUUAUCCAUCCUCUACAUAAUUCCCCUACUGCCUUAAAAAAGCACAUGUGCAGAGGUAAACAUACCAGUCUGAUCCAGGUCUGUUUGAUAACUGCUGUAGAUUGGAUAGCACCUACAGUUGGUGUCCACCAUUGGAGUUGCAAGCUCUGUUUCUUCCACGACCAACUACAUCUGAGUACAUGUUCUGCAGCUUUCAUGUAGGCGAACUCAAAAAGGAAUCAGUUUUUCCCCAUGUAAUAGAUGGUUCAGACCAUGGGAUUGGUUCCAGUUCAAAUUAGCCCAUCUAUGAAUUUUCUAGAGGGUCGGGAUUUCAGACCCAUUAGAUGAUUUCAGACCCAUUAGUACCUGACCAUAAAGGAUCCUGCUCAAAGCCUCACAAUGAGAUAGUUUGGUGUAACCAUCAAUAUGGAUUAUAUCUCCAUCUUGUUUUGUGGUUGCAGCAUCUGACCCUCUGGAGGUCCAUUUAUUUCUCCAGACUGUUCAGCAUAGGAAUUUCCUUAUAAAUCAAAGUGGGGUUUUUGUUGGUUAUCCUCGUGGCUCUACAAUAGAUGAACCUAUCUAUUUGUUAGCCAAAUCUCACCAACCUACAUCGAAUGCUGUUUCUGGAAUAACUUAUACUGCUCUGUCUUUUCCUUAUACGCUGAUUAUACUUACAUAUCGCCCCCUAUUGUUGAAAUUCCUUGCACGGAAAAGCCGGGUAGAUAGUUCCUGAGUUCCAGUCAUUUCCAUCUGCAAACAGUAUUGACUUUGACUUUUGAAGCUUCUUUGAGAGUUCUGCACAGCCAUUCUAUUGUGUUCUGACUAAAACUUGACCUGCUCAUCUUUUUUCUUCCACAUUCAGUCCAGUCCUACCAGCUUUCUCCGCGAGAGAAGCUUCCCGAGUUGUCAAAGGAUUUGAAUCCCAACGCAAAAUAGAUUAUGUUGUUUUCCAUGAAGUGAGUGAAGGAGAGAGAAAGAAGGGGUUGAAUGUUAACCCUCAACCCUUUUUUUUCUCAGUUUCAAAAAAAAAAGGGGGGGGGGUGUUGAUGAUUAACAUGUAAGGUGUUAACUGAAGUAUAGGAAACAAAAUUUUACGGUGCCAAGGCCACAGGAAAGGGUGGUUCUUCCCUCUUAGGAAGUAGGAGAUAGAUGUAACUUGGUAUUCGUUUCUGGGAGCAUUUUUUACACAAUUUUUUCUUCUCUGUUUCGUAAUACAUCAAUUUUUUUCAAGAACAGCCUUUUGAAGAUAAUGAUAAUGUGAUCUAGAUUUGCAUCUUCCUAUUUAGCUGUGGAUUAAGUGUUCCUAUCCAUCAUGAUUUCUGUGCCUAUGACUGUUACAUUCUAUGAGAAGUAUUAUAUUUUAUAUUCUUUCUCGCUUUCGUGAAACUUUAUUGCAUAGUUGUAUGCUGUAGCUUACAAGGUUCAGUAAUAAAGGGUGUCUAACAUGGAUAUUGACAGGUUGUAAGAGACAAGCGGACUGGUAAGACCAGGGGAUAUGGAUUUGUGAGUUUUUCCAAUCCAUUGGAUCUUGCUGCGGCACUUAAAAAAAUGAAUGGCAAGUUAUCUGUUAUUCAUUAUAUGUGUAGUGUCUUAGUCUCUUUUUAUAUAGUUUCUUGGUUCCCCUUUUCUUUGAUAUCUUUAUGUCAACUGAUUUAGUUUCAUAGUAAGUGUACCCUCUAUUGAGACAAUGGUUUUGUAUUUGAACACUCCCUCGCCCCCUCCCCUCCCCUCUCCUCUCUCCACAAAAGAAGGAAUAGGUGGAGGAAAUAAGUAACAGAACUCUGUACUGAGGACACUAUUUCGGACUGCUUAUGAAAUCAGUUUAGGUAAAGAAAAGAUUAGUGAGGAAAAUAACAACAUCAACAAACUUGUAUGAGAGAAUUUCGGAAGUCUGUCUCUUUUUGGAGUUUGUGAAGUGGGAAGUUCAUUAAUGUCUUAAGUGGCAGUUGUUUUAGUUAUUGAAUUGGUAUAAUAUUAUACCUAAAUGCCUACUAAUGAUGUGGAGAAAUUCAUGCUAUUUUCAGGAAAGUAUGUUGGUAACCGGCCUAUUAAACUUUGCAAGAGCAAGUGGCAAGAGAGAAUUGACCAUGAGGCUGUGGAAAGUCACAAGGUGAGGUUUCUCCCGCGGUGAUUGUGCUACUUAUAUUAUAUUACAUCAUGACAGUCGCAUUAACUGACUAUUUUUUUUUGGUUGAAUGUGUUGGAUCUUGUGACAGAACCGAUCACAUAAGAAACCAAAGCAAGCAAAGAAGGGUAUAUUUCACAAGUGAGCAUACACCAGCCAUGAUAAGGACUCAAGCAGCAAGAUACUUGAAAUGUGUAUUAAUCAAUUUCUUUACCAGUCCCUGCCUGGGAAAGAAGGAUCAAAGUAUAGUCCCAGGAUGCUGAGAGGCGAUUUCGAUGUCUGCAAUUUGUUAUUUUCACAAUGGUAUAAUAUCCAUAAGUUGCUGGUUGAUGUCUUUCUUCCUCAAGAACUCUGGAUGAUCCUUUUAACAAACCAUACAUUGAUAGAUUGGGAGAAACUAAUUUGGUUUCAUACUAACGUUGAUAAUGUAUAUGUUGGAUAUUAAACCUAAUGUGGGUGUACCAAAGAUGAUUUAAGUUCAUAUUUAGAUAGUGGUUCCAUUACAUACGUUUUGUUUUUUCAUUAAUAGGGUCGCGGAUUAAAUUGUAUUAUAAUAUGAGAGAGAAAAAUACCAUUUACUUUGCUGCUAAACUAUGUAAACAUCAUACAGGAUCUUUUGGUUACGUUUUUUAAGAAACUAAAAAUUUCUUAUUUCAAAACUGAAUUCCUUUAGCAUGAAUGGACUCUGUUACCUUGGUUUUUGGUAGAUUUAUAUUGGAAAAUUACACAAGUUAAAGGAUAUCAUGAUUUUGGUAUUUUUAGAUACAUAUAUCUUGAAAACAUUGAGGCACCUCUUGCCUCUCUUCUAUCUCUCUCACUGCAUACGAAUCUCUCGUUUCUCAUAUUCCAAGUUGGAUGCAUGUAUCAAAGUUACUAAAUACAAUACAUUUGAUAUCAAUACAUUUUGAAAUACAAAACAAAGACAGAGAGGAGCGAGCAAGAGUCAAUAUGUAACUUUUGAUAUUAGAUGCAUGGAUCUUUUUAAUGCUAGAUACAUAAGAAGAGAGACAAGCGUCAUAUGAGAGAGGCAAACGAGAAAGUGAAUGCAUAUUAUACAAAUGCGAAUGAAAGCUCGGAUAUAGUGCAAUGUGGAAUAAAUUGCACUUUCAUGUAUCCAUGGCACACGUAUGAUAUAUCUAAGUGAGACGAAUACAUCUGUCUUGCAAAGUAAAUAUGAAUUUCGAAAGCUAAAGUAAAGAUAAAUAAUUAAGUCCUUAAUUAAGUGAAAUUUGUAGUUCUAUUUUCUCACUAGCAAGAGGAGCGUUAUCGAUAAUUUUUUUUAACUAUAAGGUGCACUAAAUCCGACGAAAUGAAAUAAAAUACCUUGAAAUCCUUAUUUACAGCAAUUCACUUUUUUUCCAUUUAACUUCUUCUUUUUCGAGUUGAACACCUUCAUGCUCCUUCACCGGAAUAGAGGCAAAGAACAAGUAUCUUUUUUCAAGGAUUGUUGGGAAAUCAUUUUAGCCCCUAAAAUUACUUUAUCAUAAUAUUUGAGAAAUUUUCACAUAUGGCCACUUAAAAUAGCCUAAUUACUCUCUAUAACUAUAGUUUGAUAAAUACAAUUCAUAAGCUACAUGUUAUAGAAAUAAGAGAGGCGAACGAGACUGGAGAGAGGGAAAAAAUGGAGAGUUGGAUUGUAAAUGUAUAUCGGUUAUAUAAAUUAUACAUAUGUAUUUCUAUAUAUGACAAGCGAGAUUGAGAGAUGGAGGAGAGAGACGAUCGAUAUUGGGAGAGAGGUGAGCGAGAGAUGGCAAAGAGUGAGAGAGAGGUGAAUUGUAUAUGUAUAUAGGUUAGAUAAUUGUAUAUUAUUACAUAUGCAUUUAUAUAAAAUGGCAAGCGAUAAUGGGAGAGAGGAGAGAGGCGAGCGAGAUUGGAAGAGGGAUAGAGGUGAGUGCGAGAGGACAUAUAGUGGGAGAGAGAUGAUUUAUAUAUGUAUAUUGAUCAGAUAAUUGUAAAUUAUACAUAUGUAUUUGUAUAUUCUGACGAAUUAUACAUAUACAAAUGUGGAUAAUUAUACAAACUCGGAGUCAGCUAGGGGUGGGCAUAGAUACCGAAAAAUUGAACCGAAUAAAAAAAAUUUGGUUCUUCCGUGUUUCGGUUCGGUGUCAAUUUUCUUUUUUCAGAAUUUUUGUUCUUCGAUUUGGAGUUCGGUGCAAGGGUUUCGAAAUUACAGUGCACUAAAGUUGAAGUUUUAUUUACUAAAUUUAAAAAUAUUUAAAUUAUAUUUCUUAAUUAAUUAUAAUUACACUUUUGAAUUUUUACUCAAAAUAUUUACAUGGCCCAUUUAAAUAUUCAAUUUUUAAAUGACAACAAAUACAAUGUCAAUAAAGUGUUGAGCUAUUGUUGUUUAUGUACAAUUGUACAUUGUGAGUCCUUAUAUUUUGGUUGUUCGAAAAUUCAUCGUGGCAUCCUGCUUGCUAGGCUGCUUGCUCUCUUCUUUAUUCAUUCAACAUUCCGAUAUGGGAGAAAGCGGUUAGGCUUUAGCAACAUGGCAACCAUCUAUGCGAAAAAACAGAAACAAAUCCUUUGGCAUCUUUGCUAAAAAAUCAUCUAAGCCCUCUUUAUUUUUAUUAAAUAUACGAUGAAACUCUUAACACUUUAUCAUAUUCCAUCUUUAUUUUUAUUCACACCGAAAAAUCGAUUUUAAAACACCGAACUAAACCGAACUGAUCUAGUUUGGUAUAAACUAUGGUGAACACUUUUCUAAAAUCAAAUACCGAAGAACCGAAUCAAAAUAUGAUUAAACCAAACCGAAGAACCGAACGUCCAUCCCUAGAGUCAGCCCACAUAAUUAAUGUGCAAUGUUAAUCGUGAAUAGUAAUGAUAACAAACAAUAGCUAUGAUGAGUAAUUAAGUAGUAUAAGUUAGCUUAACCGCAUAGUUUUUUCUAACUAUGUUUUUGAUAGGCUAAAACCCAUUUGAAUUAUAAUUAUUUUUAUUAAUGACUAAUAUGUCCUUGCUUGAACAUGAAAUAUUAUAUUCUUAACACUUAAGUAUUUGUAAACCAAAAUAGGUGUGGAUACUGGAUUGUUCAGGUUUGCUUGUUAACAAAUAGACAUGAGCUUUCUUCAUAAAUUAGGUUGUUUUUUUUUCUUCAAAUUAUUGAGUCAAUACUUCAAGAACGAUGAAGAUCGAGACCAUCGUAUUGAAAAUCAAACUUAGAGCCCUUAAAUUCUAAUAGAAGUCAAGAUAAAAUAUAGUUGACUCAACAAAAUUAUUUGUGCCAUAUUAACAUAAAAUAAAAAAGAGGAAGUAACGGUUAGUUUUAUGGCUCACUCACAUUAAUAUUAUUUUUAUUUAAUAAUUAAUUACUUACUAAAUUUUAAUUGAAUAAGUGUGAGAAGUUUAUUAUGAUUAUAUCUCUCCACUAUCUCAGGAUCUACUUUGAUGGAAAGUGGUAAUUAACUGCUUGGUCCUCUCUCUGCCUAUUAAAAGGGAAUGACCUAUAUCGUGAAACGCAUAAUGUAAAGAGAGAGAAAAUAAAACGUAAUUCUUGAUUUUAAGAUCAGAAAAAUAAUAAAGUGCUUCCGCUAAUUUUUCUGUAUGUUGAUUGUUAUAGAAUUGCACGUGAAAAUCAUUAAGUUCUACGAUUAUGAAAUCUUAAUAGAUUUAUCUUAACAUGCAUUAUUCGUCAAAGUAAAAAGAAAUUAUUAGUUACAAUAAUUAAUAAAUUGUGUUGAAUAGGAAACAUGUGCCUAGUUUAUAACUAUUAAGUUAGCCUUAAUUAAGUGAUUAGGAUCUUUGCUAAUUAACUAACUGACUUCUUUAGCUAUAUAUACAGACUUCAAGUCAAAAAAAUUAAAAUCAUUUACUGUACUAUUUUGUUACUUCCUCAUCACGACACCGAUCCUUCUCUCCGUUCACUGCUCGCCGGCGACUGCCAUCUCCGUUCACCUCUGUAAGUUUUCUCUGUCCUUAUUUCUCUUUCUUCUUAGCUCUCAUUUUCCUAUCCCUCUGUUUGCGUUGGAACCGACACCCGAUGGCCUCACCAUUUGUGACGUUUUGACUUAGUUAAGCUGGCUCGAUUCUAUGAAAUGCUGUUUCAGAAGAAAAGCGUGCAUGUUAUUGUGAAUUUUUUAUGUUAGCGUUUUUGUACUCUGUUCAGGAGUUUGAUUCUUCAGCCUUACCGGCUGUAUUGUUGAGUUUUGUUGUUAAUUUUAUAUGAUUUUACUCGGUGCUUCUUUCGCAAUUGGAAUUUGAUGUUGAUUAGAAAAAAAAAUUAGGGUAGGGUUUUUGUACUCUUUUGCGCUUGUCUCCUCGAGACUUGCCGCUGGCUUGUUAUUAUUGUGAUGUAUAGUGAUUGGUUGUGUAACGGUUGACAUGCAUGUUAUUAUGAUUACGAUUUUUGUGCCUGUUUUAUUGAGGUUAUUGUGAAUCGAUUAAGUUUUACAUGUAAGGUAGAUGUUCUUGUGAUUAACUAUAUGUCACAUUGUUAGACUUUUAGAUGGAAGGUGAAGAUAAUGCCAAGUUAGAUUCUCCUUCGUGACUUCCAUUUGAUAAUGAAUUUGUCUCCGACAAUUCGUUUGAGAAAAAGCAGAAUUAAUUGGAUAAUGACGGGGAAGAAAGUUUAGACUUUAGACAGGGGGACUUUGUUGCUUCUAGAUCUAAUCUACAUAAAACACUUCGAUAAAUAGUUCAAAUUAAUCAGUUAUUUAGUCUCUGUGAUUCUGAAAAGCUCAACACUUUGCGAGACGUUCCAUCUAGCUAACUAAAGCUAUUAAUAACAAAAUUGUGAUGAAUAGUGAUUGGUUGUCUCACAGUUGACAGGCAUGUUAUGAUGAAAAAUUAUUGGACACGAUUUUUGUGCCUGUUUUGUUGAGGUCCAGUCAAGGUUUACAUGUAACUUAGUUCCUUAAUGUUCUUGUGAUUAACUUUUUAUCACAUUUUUGGAUUUUUAGAUGGAAGACAAAGAUAAUGCCGAUUUAGACUCUCAGUCGGGCCUCGAAUUUGACAAUAACUCUGACUCUGAUGACGUCUUUGACUAUUUUCGCAUGACGAAAGAAGAUUUUGAUGAUGCGAGUGGAAGAAGAUUUAUACAUGGCGACAUUGUUUCUUCCAUGUCUAAUCCUGAUAACAAACUUGGCCAAGUAGUUCAAAUUAAUCGGUUCUUUGGAAUGUUUGAUUCGGAUGAUCUCUACUCUUUUCGAGACAUUCCAUCUAACCAACUAAAGCGUAUAACAAAAUUUGCGAAAGGAGAUUUGGUAGUCCUUACCCAUUGGUUGGGUAGGGUAGUUUACGUUUCAUGUGAUACUACUGUUAAGUUCGAGAAUGAUGACUCUUUACGCACUUUUAGAGGAGGGACAGGUCUUUAUCCACGUUUUCCUUCAUGGAAUAUCUCAUGUGACAGGCCUUGUCCACUACAUCCUGGACAACAGGUGAUGGUUGCGGGUAAACCAUGUACAGUAAUCGAUCUGGUUGAUAGAUUUGUAUAUGUUGAAUGGAUCGCUAAUUCUGAAUGCAGUGGCUCCCCUCCCCCUCCCGAUAAACAAGAUCCUAACAGCUUGACACAAGUGUUUUCAUAUCUCUCGACUUGGAAAAUAGGAGAUGUAUGCAAGCAUGUGUCGUAUCCUGAAAUUGUUGUUCUAAUCACUGACAUUAGAACGUUUGUUGAUGUGUCUUGGCAAGAUGGGUCAACAGAAAGAAACAUUCCAUCAACUCUACUGAAGCCCAUUUCUGAUAUAGGAGUUCAUGACUUUUUAGUGGAUCAAUAUGUUGUUUGGGAUAAUUCUGAACACUUGGGAGUCGUCAAAUCUGUUGAUCACAGGGAGAAAACCACAACGGUGAAGUGGAUAAAUCGCCUGAAUGAGGAUAUCAUUAGUUCUAGCCGCCUGAAUCGGCACCAUCUUUUUAACUAUCACCUGGGUAAUUUGGUUUUCCGCCGAAUAACAAAAGAAGCUGAAAAUUCUGAUUUGUCCUCCUUUGGGAGUAUAAUUGGCUUCAAAGAUGGCAACAUUGAGGUUGCAUGGGAUGAUGGUACUACAUCUAUGGUACGUACUACACUUAUAUUGUCUUUGUUUUAUUACUUUCAAGCAUUUUCUAAAAUAAUAGUUUCCUUUUGGUUUCAGGUUCAACCUCAAGAACUUCAUGGUGUUGAUCGAGAUGAUUAUGGGUAUAAAUCUGAUGAAUACUCAUCCAGCAGCGAUGAAGAAGUUGGGGACUCAUUGGUUGUAGAAAUUCCUGAUUCCAAUGUAAGAUCCUCUAAUUAUUAUUUUUUUUGCCAUUUUAUCAUACGUAAGUUAACAUUUAUAAAUGUUUGAUGCUGUGACUUCUGGGUGAUGGACAGGUUGAUUUGUUGGACUUUGUGGACCUGCAGAGUGUUAAAUGCCUUAAUGAAUGCCACAUCCACUGUAUUAGCAAUGCCCUAGAAAAGGUACAAUUAAUAAACUAAAGUAAAAAGGAGAAGAUUUUGUUCAUUUCUUAAAUUUUGGGCUUGAUUAUGCUUCUGUCUUCCAUUUAUUUUUCAAGUUGAUGAAUUUAAUAUUCAGCAGUGAAUAGGAUAGGAUAAAAUUGUUAACAAAGAAAAAGUAUAUUAGAUAUAGAUCUAUUUGUAUCGGUUUUGUCUUUUUUGUAUAAAAACAAUCUAUUUAGCUUGAUCAAUUUGUCAUGUUACAUAUCACUGAUCACUAUUUUGGAAUUUGUUUGCUCCACAAUAUUAGCUCAUCUUUUUAAUAGAAACUUGCUUAGUCUCUUAUAAAUUGGAGUGGACAUAAUCUUUUGUCGUAGCUUCUGCUUCUACUUGAUGCUAUCAAUGAAAUCUCCUUCAUCCAAAAAAAGGUCAUCUUGUUUUGUUUUUAUUCAAACUAAUGGCAUUGACUUUAUUUUGAAUAUGUAAAUUAGGAUUACAGAGAAUUCAAGGGCUUGAACGUGGAGAGCACUGCAGAUGAGCAGCUAUUGAUUUACAUUCCUUUUAAGCAGCCUAUCAAUUUGCAUUCACUGAUUAUUGGAGGACUUGUGGAGGAAGGUACGCAAUAAAUUUCAUGUCUUUUUAACCCUUGGUAAUCUCUUUGUUGGGUGCACAUAAGACCUUUAGUUAACCUCUUGCAUUUUCAGCUUUUUGAAAGAUUUACCUUUGUAGGUCUACUGUUUAAGAUAAACAAUUUCUUACUCUGGCAUGUGUUCAUAAUUUAUUUUAUCGAUAUGUAGCUAAAUGAUGCAUCAACUAGUUAAUGGAUACACUACUAUGUCUUGUUACGGAAAAUCUUAAUGAUUUAUGCAUAAAUCUGGAGUAAGCAAGAAAAAAUGGAUUAUUUGUAAAGCUACCUAGUUCGCAGAGACCUUUUAAGAUUGUUAGUGGGAUAGCCAGAGAGUGCAGUUUAGGAAGAAAUUUUGACAGGCUUCUCUAUAAUGGGGGUUUACCAAUCGCUCUGCUCUCGUUUAUAUAUUGGUAUGGGCAUAACGUUAAAGAUAUGGAUCAAUCAUGUAUGUUGCGAGUCAAUUACGUGCUGCUUUUUAAUUCUGUCUAAGUGAUAGUUCCUAAUUGGUAUUUAUGGUUGAUGUCUUGCACUUUGCUGUCACACAAGCCAUACUUACUGUGGAAGUGUCUCUUUGGUGUUUCUUUUAAAGUCUCUUUAAGAUGUAUGUAUAAAUUGAUGAUGCCAUGCCUUAACACAUUUUUUUCCUACAUUAAAGGUCCUAAAACUGUGAAGCUGUUGGCUAACAAGACGCACUUUGAUGUCAGGUGAAUUCUGUACUUCAUAAUAUUUGGUGUCCUUUCCUGGACUGACCCAUUUGUGGCACAUUUUUUCACCUUUACCAUGCGUUAUCACUAAUUGAAUUGGACCUAUAUGUAGUGAUGCUAUUGAAGCCACUCCAAGGGACGCAGCAAUUUUAUCUGAAGAUAAUCUCAGGGUAAGCCAAUCCUGGUUCAGGAAUUCUGCUUCUUCGGCGAUGUGUUAACAAAAAAUACUUAAUGGGGUUGUGCCCGUAGAGUUGUUAAGAUUUUCCCUCGAUGUUCAAUGUUUAUUAUUCAAGUACCUUAUUGUUCUUUUGUAGGGAAAAGCAGUUAAGUUGAAGCAAGUUAAGUUUCAAAGCGUUCACAGGUAUGCUUAAAUAGCUUGUCUCCAUAUUUUGAAGUAUUCAUUUGUAAAAUGGCAUUAAUCUUUUGUAUUGCUAUUGGACCAGUGUGACUAUUUUUAUCGAGGACAAUCAGUAUGGUUCCAAACUUACAAGAGUUCAAAGAAUUUAUUUGUUUGGAACAUCGUAAGUUUCCGAUGACCUCUUACUUAACAUUUUACUUCCUUGCACGCUUAUUGUCAAGUUUUUUUUAUUUUAGUUAACUUUUACUGAUGAUUGUUAUAUUUACAUUUUGUCUUUGUUGAUGAUUUUUAAUAUGAUUCGGAUAUUGUGCAGGCACUUCUGAGCCAUGAACACCAAGAAAAGCUGUAGAUUUUUGUACAUCUUAGAGGAAUUUCUUUCAGUGUUGAUGAGAGAGUGUAAAAGAAGAAAACAAAAACAAUUUUUUGUGAUACGUAAAUGUACUUUUGAGUUUUGUAAAUUUUACCAACUAAGAAGAUGCUUGCUAUUGUUGGCAAGUGCUUUUAGCUAGCAAAUUUUGAAUCAUUUUAUUCUUGUGUUAAUGACAUAUUUAGUCAUAGAUAUCCCUAUACUAUCAGAAACAGUUUAAAUAUACUCUUUGUUGACUAGCAAUACAAAAUCUAAACACUUGUUGCAGCAAAUUAUAAACAGUGACCAUAUGACAAGAUUAGAAGAAAAGGAAUUGUGAAGAAGGAAAAAAAAUGGCCCUUGAGUUUUUUCUUGAAUAGAAAAUAUGGUAGCAUGGAAUAUUAAAUAUUCUUAAAAAUUUGGCUAAAUAUUAAAUAAUUUUUUAACAAUUGAAAUGUUAUAGAGUCGUUUAUUCGGUUGAAAUAUUGAAAGAAAUUAACCCAAACAAAAAGUUAGAAAUAGAUUUAUAGUAUAAUAUGGUUAUGGAAAACAAAUUUAGAUUAAAUAAAAAAAAUAUUUAUCAUUUUUUUUGUUAAAAAACAAAAUGCUUAUAGAAUUAAUUAUUUUAAUAAUUAUAAUAAACAUUAACUCACUAAUUAUUUUGUAAGGCCAAAUUAUUUUAUUCGAUCUCCCUUCAUUAGAAAAUCCUAUUUCAGCCUGCAAUGUCAAUUGUGCCUUCAUUGUCUACCUCUUAUGAGUGGCCAGACAGUAAAUAUAAUUUCGCUGUUCGAAAUUAUGUUAUUUUGAUUAAUACAAUAGUUGAAUCGCGAUACAAUAUAAUAAUAUUUUAGCAAACAGUAGAAUAAGUAACAACCAUCCAAACAUGCUAUUAGUAUUAUGGUGUUUUGUGUGUAUUAGUUUGUUUCUCUCCCAUUAUAGUCUUUGAUAGUACUAGAUACCAGUGUUAUCAAAGGUGAAAAACGUAAAAAAACUCUAAGGUCCGUAAGGGCUUUAAUCGCAAAGAAAGUGUGGGGUUUAAUGAAAAAAGACGCAAAGGGAGAAAAUAAUACAAAUAUAUAUGUUUAGUUCAAGACUAAUAAUUAUAAACAUGAAUGUCAAAUAUAUGACGAAAGAAAUUGAAAUUUUUUUAUGAUUAAGUGAAAUUUCAAUUAUUUAGUGUUACUUCUUCAUACGAAGCUCAUUGGCAAGGAAACACUGAAGCGCACAUACAGGGAGACAAAGCGCUCAACACGUUUUGAGCCUCGCUUCGGAGCUUAAAGCGCGCCUUUGAUAACACAGCUAGAUAGAGGGUAUGAGCAUUGUAAAUUUGGUCAUACCAAAACAAAGAAUCUUGCAGUUUGGAAGGAAUUCAAAGACUUCAGUUAUAUUAGCCUAGUGUAAACUGUUUUACAUUAUUGUACAAACCCUAUUUGUAUGUAACUUGCGUUCUGUUUCACUUAAUGUCUCUCAAGGUGAAAAUUCUCAGUACCAUCUACAUUUUCAAUCUCAAUACUGCUAGAUAAAGGGACUAAAGAACACAACCUUGAUAGCUCUUUUUGUGGCUCAGAAUGUCCAUCGAAAAGGGUAUGAUAUACCCCUCAACUUUGUCAAUUAGAGCUGAUAUACCCAUUGUUAUGAAAGCGGCUCAUAUAUACCCCUACUUGUAAACAAAUGGCUCACAUAUACCCUUUUCCUCUAACUGAAGAUUGAAAAAAUAAUACUUUUAAUCUAAAUUUUUUAAUUAUUUCUUUCUAAAAAAUAUAAUCCCAUAUGAGUAAAUUUAAUCCUCGUCAAACAUAUUUUUUUGACUUUUUUUUGUUUCAACGACUAAUUUAUAAUUAUUAUUUUGAUAAUCAAAUUUAUUUAUGUUUCACUAAUAUUCUUAUAAAACUUAUCGUAGAUGACCAAAUUUUUUCUUCGAAUGCGAAAUUAAAUUACAAUACACACAAAAAUUAUUUUUUUUUUAAACUAAAGGAAUGAAAGAAAAAAAUAAAAAAAGAAUAAGAAACUCAAAUAAUUAUAAUAAAGGAAGUCAAAAAAUAAUUUAUGUAUGAAAAAAUUAAUUUAUACCUUGAACUUUGAUAGAAGAAUCAUAUAUACCCCUAAAUAAUUUCUAAAAAAAUUAGAAGUAAUAAAUAUAAAUUUAAAAACUAAUUUUUUUAACUUCCGUUAAAUGAAGAGUAUAUGUGAACCAUUUUGUAACGGCAGGGGUAUAUGUGAGCCGUUUGUAUAACGGUAAGGGCAUAUAUGAGCCACUUUUAUAACGAGGAGCUCCAAAUGAUAAAGUUGAGGGGUAUAUCACGCCGUUUUCCCCAAUUUUAAUUGAUGUGAGGAUCACCUAAUCACUUAGAAAAAAAUGGUAUGAAUGCACAUGUAUGAAUCUAACAAUAUACAUUCAAAUUUUAAGAUUCUAGUAGAUGUACUGAUACAUUCACAGGUUUUGAGACAUGCGUUGUGAUCAUACAAAAGUUUGGAUUUUUUGAAAUUUGAAAAUGGUGUCCAUCUCCGUUGAGAUAUGCGUUGCUAAAGACGGGAAAGAGGCGAUUACAACCCAAUAUAGCCUUUUUUCUCAAAACUUUGUUGUUUAAUGGUAUGUUGUAGCUUACAAGGUUCAAUAACAGAGAGUUUCUAUUAUGCAUGUUAACAGGUUGUGAGAAACAAGCAGACUUGUAAGUCCCAGGGGAUAUGGGGAUUUGUGAGUUUUUCCAACUCAUUAGAUCUGUUAAUCAAUAUAUGAAUGUGUAUAGUAGUCUCUCUGCGUUUAAAUCAAUCAAUAUAUGAGUGACUUUCUGAAGGAAAAAAAAAAAAAACUGACUUUUGAGUUGAAUGAUGACUUCACCAUCUCUUUGAUGAGAAAACAACUUAUAGUUGAGUGACCAUCUGAAAUAUUAUCUCGUAGUUUUAGUAAUUGAAUUGGUGUAACGUUGUUCCUAGAUGUCGAAUGAGAUUGUUGUUUUCAGGAAAGUAUGUUGGAAAUCGACCAAUUAUACUUCACAAAAGCAAGUCCAGGAUAUGACUAUGAAGCUCUGAAAAGACGUAGGGCUAGUUCUUCUAUAUGAUAUUGCAUCAUUUUUCAUAGAAGUUUCAUCGACAAGUAUUAAAAGAGUUUUGAGUAGUAUUUAGUUAAAGUCAUAGAUUGACUUGUUAUAAACUGUCAAAUAGCUUGAUCUUGUUGGAAUCCGUAAGAAAACGUCUAAUGUUGCUUUCAUGUUCACGUCAAAUUAAUUGAUGUAAGAUCGAAAAUUUAUGUCUUAUGAAGCUUAAGAUUUGAUAGACAAAGUUAGCUAGUUUUUUAAUUUACUCAUAUCAGUGAAAGGUAAUAACGGUAAAAUUUAUAUAUUUUUCUUCGAAUAUUAAGUAUUAUUCAUUUUUUUUGGAGAACUCUAUUACGACAAAUAAAUUUGUUGUCGAAUUGAUUAUUUCGAAAAUGAAGAAACAACAGCAUCUAGUGAAAAAAAAUUAUCUUCCAUAAUAGAAAAAAUAUUUUAAUCAAAUUUAGAUCUCAUGUUUGUAUUAAAAUUGCUUUUAUAUUCAGACAUGUGAUUUUUGUUUGUGCAUAUUUAGAUUUUUAUUUUUUUUAAUGAUAUUUUAGCUGUUCUUUAAAUAUGGGACCUAAGUUCGGAUAUUAGUGCAUAUGUCUCGUCGAAUUUUUCAUUGUUUUAGACUUUUGAGAUUAUUUUUAAAAAAAUUAUUUAUUGUCUCACGAAUUAAUAAUUUUACAAAGGAUUUUAUGUUAAAUACAUCUCCUUCAUAUUUUUAAGUCAAAUGCAUGUACGAAAAUUACUAAAUACAAGAUAUUUGAUAUCAAAUACAUUCUAAAAUAUAAAUACACAUAAGGAUAGGAGCGAGCAAGAGUCGAUAUGUAACUUUUGGUACUAGAUGCAUGUAUCUUUUAAAUGCUAGAUACACAAGAAAAGAGACAAACGUCAUAUAACAGAGAGAAUGAAUAUAUCUUAGAUAUAGGCGGGCAGAUCAAAGCUCGAAUAUAGUGCAUUUUAGAACAAAUUACACUUGUAUGUAUUUGCGAUACAUAUAUAAUGUAUCUGAGUGCGACGAAUACAUCUAUCUUGCAAAGUAAAUGUUAAUUUCGAAAGUAAAGUUAAGAUAAUUAAACAAGUCCUUCAUUAUUGAAAUUUAUAGUAUAGAAGGUUAUAUCGAAAGACACGUAAUUAGUUUCUAAAUUAAUUUUGGGCUUUAGCCCAUUUAUCCGGAAUAUAUAUUCAGACAUAUAUGAUCUCUCUCCCGUUUUUCCGAAUUUUCAAUCACAAUAAUUCCCAAAUCCCUAAUUUAGCGAUCGGAAAAUCUCAAUUCACCGGCGUUACGAUGUCAUCGAUGCCUUCAACGUCGGCGGCAGCUACUUCAUCGUCGUCGCAAUUCACCUACUCGAACGGCACCUACUUUCCGACGCCUUUUCAUCUCCAACAACAACCUCCUCAGCCCUACAUAGGUGCUGCUCCUCCGCCCGUUCAACUUCCUGUUCCUUCCGUCUAUCCUGCUCCUGCUGCUAUUCCUGGCGUUUACACUUUGCCUCAGUUUCAACAAGU